rnacentral:rRNA from 1 species
AUGCCUCUCUAUUUGCAUUGUAGGCUCUGUUGGUCGGUCUUCAAUUCUUCAUGCCACUGCUGCUACUGCUACAUGAGGACCCUCUUCAAUUCUGCAUCCGUUGCGACCACCGCAGUUUCCACCUCCAGAAGAGCACCUGCUCCUUGUGCGGUUACCCGGCCGCCCGCAUUCGCAAGUUUGGAUCAUUGGUACCCCCAUCAUCAAGCGUACGGAUGCAACAGUGGAAAGAAGAUGAUGGACGUGUGGAUCAUCAAGCACACCAUGGUGAUCAUCUACCUUCUCACAAAUGCUAACUCAAUCCAGAUCGACGGUGUCUCUCUCGGUUCCCUUUAUUCUCUCAUGUGUUUGUCAUGUUAG